rnacentral:rRNA from 1 species
GACGAACGCUGGCGGCGUGCUUAACACAUGCAAGUCGAACGAUGAACCGGUUUCGGCCGGGGAUUAGUGGCGAACGGGUGAGUAACACGUGGGCAAUCUGCCCUGCACUCUGGGAUAAGCCCGGGAAACUGGGUCUAAUACCGGAUACGACACUCCGAGGCAUCUUGGGGUGUGGAAAGUUCCGGCGGUGCAGGAUGAGCCCGCGGCCUAUCAGCUUGUUGGUGGGGUAAUGGCCUACCAAGGCGACGACGGGUAGCCGGCCUGGGAGGGUGACCGGCCACACUGGGACUGAGACACGGCCCAGACUCCUACGGGAGGCAGCAGUGGGGAAUAUUGCACAAUGGGCGAAAGCCUGAUGCAGCGACGCCGCGUGAGGGAUGACGGCCUUCGGGUUGUGAACCUCUGUCAGCAGGGAAGAAGCGAAAGUGACGGUACCUGCAGAAGAAGCACCGGCUAACUACGUG